rnacentral:lncRNA from 1 species
AACCCAAAAAGUGGGUUAAAUUAAUCACUACCUAUGAUCAGGAGCUACGUCCCUUAGCUUUAGCAAAGGGAAUAUCAGAUGUAACUAACUGUCAUUCCCAUUCCAGGAGACCACCCAGAAGACCCACCCAAAUCAACAGCUUCACAAAGGUGGUCUUUAUCAGACGAUGCAGCGUUUUACUGGGAACCCUGGGGAACAUUUCAAAAAGCUGUGUGUGUGGUAGCGGGGAGGAGAGAAGAAAUACUGAGAGAUUCAGAAAGAUCACCUGUUAUUCAUCUCAUCUGUAGACAUUAAAACGAGAAACAGGGAAUCGGGAAGAAAGGAUGAAAACAUCAGCUCUAAAGACUAGUCUUCUAAUAUCCUGAGCAUUUUAUUUGGGUGCUUGGUCAGCAGCAUAAAAUACAUAUACCUUAAGAGCACCUGUUUAUUUAUUCCCCUGAGCGGAAGUACUGAGCCAGGGCCACCACCUGUGGUUGCAGCACCUUCACACCCGGACUGGUGCAGUGCGUAAUCUUCCCAGCUGUACGCAACGGUUCUGUUCACAACAGACCAGAAAUACAACAGGACAAAAAACUGGAAAACCGGGUUUUUGUACCAGGGACCCUAAUCCGUUAGAUUCAGAAAUACACAGAAAAUAUUCCAUAAAAGAUGCAAGCUUGAAAAAGUCUGAGGGCACACUUCGAAGCUUCCUUUUUCAUCCGCCUCUCACCAACGCAGCUUGAUGUAUUCAUCCCUCUGACUGGCACUGUAUUCAUCCCUAUCUCGAUUAUCUCUUUUCUUACUAAAAUGUCUAUGUCCAAAUAUACCUUCCCUUCACUUUCAUAUCAUCCAAGUCUCAAGAGUUUCUUUUUUUCCCUUUUUUUUUUUCCAGUCUUUUUGUCUUUUUAGAGCCACACUCAAGGCAUAUGGAGGUUCCCCAGUCUAGGGGGUCCGAUCAGACCUAUAGCUGCCGGCCUACACCAGAGCCACAGCAACAUGAGAUCCAAGCCACAUCUGUGACCUACACCACAGCUCAUGGCAACACCAGAUCCUUAACCCACUGAGCGAGGCUGGGGAUCAAACCCGCAUCCUGCUGAAGGCUAGUCGGGCUCGCUAACUGCUGACCACGAUGGGAACUCCUCUUUUCUUGAAAUUUCACAAUGGAAGAAUGAUUUCUGACAGCAAUAGAAACUGUUGCCUAACUCUUCCUUACGUAUUUUUUUUUGAUUAUCGGUUUUACGAAUGAUAUAUAUGUUGCCAUAAAAUAUUUUCCUCUUUUCUAUUUCAAUUGUUUGGAAGCUUGAAAAUGGCUGAAUAGAAAAGCAUCACGUCAUGUUGACAAAGCACAAUAGAUGUCUGUAAAGACGAGUUUUAAUUUAAGGCUUUUUUAUCAUUAUCAAUAUAAAAUAAAGAUUAGAAGUUUCCAAUUUUUAACAAAGUUGAAAAUUUAGGCUAAGAUGUUUUGUUUUCUUCAUUUUAUUCUCUGUAUCCAUAUUCUCUUGGUAAAUAUUUUUACAAAAACAUUUUGUUUCUUAUACCCCCCACAGCUCUUCCACAAAUAUUUAUAAGCUUUAGGGAAUGGGCAAGGAUCAAGGAUGAGAAUAGGGGAAAAAAGGGUAAUUCAGUUUAGUAUCUACAACUUCAGCCUGCUUUUCAUUUUUAAUAGCUAUAUUUUUAAGAAUUAGAGAGAUUCCACAAACUUAGAAGACGUGAAAAUGAGGAAGGUAACAUGCUAUUAAGUAGACGGCAAAAAAGCAGAGUUUUAUCUAAUAGAAGACGGACUCAGGAGCCUCAGCUUCAUACCUCAUCACCAGUCAACUCCAGCACUUUGAGGGCGAGCAGCAUAUCUAUGCUAGUGUUGUGUUGGACUUCCCAGGUGGCUCCCAGCAGAACUACUUGGCAUUGCUUCUACGCCCCAGUUGCAUCGAUAUUCAGUUCAGACAAAAAUGGAACAAAAGGGUGAGAAGGAACCACCAAAAUCAUUUACAAGUGUCCCAUGAGACUCAUGAAAAGUGCACAGAAAUAUCUCCUGCUGCCAUGAGCCUACUCUCUGCCAAGUUCCCCAACAGCACCAAGAAGCUUUGACGUUGAUCAGCUUCCCUAUCACUGACAGAGAUCUCCCCCCGUCUGUGCAAACGCUCUGCAGUGGAUUUUAAGAAUAUGGAGAACCCUUGCAGAGCCAAAGUAAAGUGCAAUAAAGUACCAUUAGAUUUGCUGAAAGGGGGAUGAGCUGAAAUCUAUCAAUCUAUCAACAACUGCCCUAAUCCAACCUACAUGUGCACUUGGAAUAUAGAACCAGGCAAAGGAAUAGUCUGCUAACUUUUAAAGUACCCUCACUUUUCCUGACUUAAACUUGGCUUAUAAUAAAUGCAUUUAUUUUCAUCUUCUUUAUCAUAAGUAAUACAGAACCUCUCACACAUGCUUUUGGAAUCAAUAGAAAAACCCCGAAACUUUCUUCUCUGAGACGCAGGCAGAAUGGAAGAGGGCAAGUUUAAGACGCAGGGUCAUGUGUUAUGUGCAACCCCCUCUCUAAAGCCUUUCGGACGGAGAGAUGCUCCCCUGAUCCUCCCACAUGUGCUGCUUCACUACAGACUCUGUUAAGGACGCGUGACCUUCCACACGGCGGCCACUGUAAACAAAGGGUAUUGGGGUUCACAUGCUCUUAGUCUUAGGGACAACCCCGCCUGCUUUGCACACUUUCUGACAAAAACAGGCAAAGAAAACAAAACAACAUAAAACACUCUGAACAAGUGGAAAUGGAAAGUUUCAUGAUUCUAAUGGGAUGGGAUAGACUCCUCUCCUUUAAAGCCAAUUUCCUUGCUUCCUAUUAGACAGAACAGUCACACAUUAAAAAUAUAUCAUUUUGGGAGAUGCUGUCAUGGCUCAGUGGUCACCAAACCCGACUGGUAUCCAUGAGGACACAGGUUUGAUCCCUGGCCUUGCUCAGUGGGUUAAGGAUCUGGUAGGUCACAGACAUGGUUUGGAUCUGGCGUUGCUAUGGCUGUGGCGCAGGCUGGCAGCUGCAGCUCUGAUUUGACCUCUAGCCUGGGAACCUCCAUAUGCCUUGGCUGUGGCCCUAAAAAGACAAAAGACAAAUAUAUAUUGUCUUUAUAAUUAUUUAUAUAUAGCUUUCAUGGGAAAGUUUAAAAAAUCAUGCCAAAAAGCAUGUGCAUCCUAGCGGUUUUAUUUCUGUGAGUCUUUCAGCGAUGGUGGCAUAUUAGUACUUUCUACUGUCCAUACCCCAGAUUCUCAUAAAACAGGAUAUUUGGGUUUUCUCUAACCACAGCAUUAUGAAAAAUUAAUUCAAUUCAAUGUAUGACUUUAAGUUAAAUUAUUAAACCCCAGUGUUCUUUGAAGUUGUUUUCUUUAUAUAUAUAUAUAUGUCAAGAUAUUCUAACGUGUCCCCUUCCCCAAACACAAAAAGCCUAGUUUCUACAUAUAUUGAUUUCACUACAUCUCAGCUUGUAACUUAUCUUCCUAUGGUAUCUUACCUAAAAGGUGCUAUCUCAAUAGCCCAAUGCUUUUUAAGUGACAAGGUUAAGUUCAAUAGUUUAGGCCUCUUCAUUCUUGAUACUGAGGAACUAUACAAAAAUAUUGCCUGGAAGUUCCUGUCAUGGCUCAGUGGUUAACGAAUCCAACUAGGAACCAUGAAGUUGCAGGUUCAAUCCCUGGCCUUGCUCAGUGGGUUAAGGAUCCGGUGUUGCCGUGAGCUGUGGUAUAGGUUGCAGGUGCGGCUCGGAUCUGGCGUUGCUGUGGCUGUGGUGUAGGCGACGGCUACAGCUCCAAUUAGACCCCUAGCCUGGGAACCUCCGUAGGCUUUUUUGCGAAAGCAAAAAAAAAAAAAAAAAUGUAUAUAUAUGUGUGUGUGUGUGUGUGUGUGUAUAUGUAUAUGUGUAUAUAUAUGUAUAUGUAUAGCCUGAUCACUGAAAGAUGCUUAGAAACAUAUUUACCCCUUUGAGGGUUAAAAGGAGAUAAAGAGGGACCAGUGGUGAUUUUUCCCCACCAGUUUGCAUCUCUCAGCUGGGUUUUAAGAGCUAUGUAACCAAAUAAGCAUAUGGAGACCACAACUGCUACAGUGUACAUAAACAAGAAAAAUAAUUCCAAUACCAUGCCCCAAAAACUACAAUAAAGGUGAAGGGACCAUUUAAUUGCGCAUCUGGCAAUGAUAAGAACUGAAAAAGGGAAAAUGCUCAGGAGAGGUUAACACUUGCCUCUGCAGUAAGAAAAGCAGAGUGUGGUCUUGACGACAUCACUGGGGGAACUUUGCACAAUGUUUUAAUCAAAACCAAGGCCCUGAAGGAAACUUUAAAGGAAAAAAAUACAUAUACAGAAAGAAACUUAAAAAAAAUUACGCUCCGCAGCUUCUCCUCUUGAAUUUUUCUCCAGAGGAUCUAACUUAAACAAAACAACUCUGGCAAAGAACAGGCUUAUUAUUCCUUUACAGAAUAUUC